AGGCUCUUGCAUCGAUGCAGAUCGCAGUGAUAUGCGAUAAGUAAUGUGAAUUGCAGAAUUUCGUGAAUCAUUGAAUCUUUGAACGCACAUGGCGCCCUAUGGUAUUCCGAAGGGCAUGCCCGUCUGAGCGUCAGCUGGUCUUCUCAAGCUCUUUUCCUUGGAUAACAUUGGAGAAGCAACACACGGUCCAUUUGGACUCUGUGUGCUCUCCAGAAAUUCAUAGGCGGUACGCUUCUAGCAAACCAGACGUAAGAAUUCUUUAUCUCGUCCUUUGUUUUGGAGCUGGGCUUGUCUCUUAAUCCCACAUCUUUCAAGAGACCUCAUAUCAGGUAGG
rnacentral:rRNA from 1 species